rnacentral:rRNA from 1 species
GGGCUGUUCGCCCAUUAAAGAGGCACGCGAGCUGGGUUCAGAACGUCGUGAGACAGUUCGGUCCCUAUCCGUCGCAGGCGUAGGAAAUUUGAGAGGAGUUGUCCUUAGUACGAGAGGACCGGGAUGGACAAACCAAUGGUGUACGAGUUGUCUUGCCAAAGGCAUGGCUCGGUAGCUAAGUUUGGAAAGGAUAAGAGCUGAAGGCAUCUAAGCACGAAGCCCCCCUCAAGAUAAGAUUUCCCAUUCGAAAGAAAUAAGAUUCCUUGAAGACCACAAGGUAGAUAGGUUCAAGGUGUAAGGGUAGAAAUACUUUUAGCUGAUGAAUACUAAUAGAUCGAAGACUUGACCUAACAAUGACUUUAUA